rnacentral:rRNA from 1 species
CCAGUACCGUGAGGGAAAGGUGAAAAGUACCCCGGAAGGGGAGUGAAAGAGUACCUGAAACCGUGUGCUUACAAGUAGUCAGAGCACAAUUAUGUGUGAUGGCGUGCCUUUUGUAGAAUGAACCGGCGAGUUACGAUCCUAUGCAAGGUUAAAGUGGAAACUGGAGCCGUAGCGAAAGCGAGUCUGAAUAGGGCGAAUAAGUAUAGGGUCGUAGACCCGAAACCAGGUGAUCUACCCAUGUCCAGGGUGAAGGUAAGGUAACACUUACUGGAGGCCCGGACCCACGCACGUUGAAAAGUGCGGGGAUGAGGUGUGGGUAGCGGAGAAAUUCCAAUCGAACUUGGAGAUAGCUGGUUCUCUCCGAAAUAGCUUUAGGGCUAGCCUCAAGAUAAGAGUAUUGGAGGUAGAGCACUGUUUGGACUAGGGG